AGUGGGGAAUAUUGCACAAUGGGGGAAACCCUGAUGCAGCCAUGCCGCGUGUGUGAAGAAGGCCCUAGGGUUGUAAAGCACUUUCAGUAGGGAGGAAAGGGUGUUGAUUAAUACUCAACAUCUGUGACGUUACCUACAGAAGAAGCACCGGCUAACUUCGUGCCAGCAGCCGCGGUAAUACGAGGGGUGCAAGCGUUAAUCGGAAUUACUGGGCGUAAAGCGUGCGUAGGCGGUUUGUUAAGCAAGAUGUGAAAGCCCAGGGCUCAACCUUGGAACUGCAUUUUGAACUGGCAAACUAGAGUACUGUAGAGGGUGGUGGAAUUUCCAGUGUAGCGGUGAAAUGCGUAGAGAUUGGAAGGAACAUCAGUGGCGAAGGCGGCCACCUGGACAGAUACUGACGCUGAGGCACGAAAGCGUGGGGAGCAAA
rnacentral:rRNA from 1 species